rnacentral:lncRNA from 1 species
CUUCAACAAGCAUUUAUUAAACGCCUACUAUGUGCUCAGCACUAUACUAGGCACUCGGGGGUGCAGAGAUACAAAUGUAAAAGUUAUUAUUCCUGCCCUCAAGGAGCUUACAAUUUAAUUUUGGAAAUAAAUACAAAUAUGAAACUGUAACACAGAGUGCUAGAAAAUAAUUACAAAGCAACAUAUUAGUAAGUACAUGGACCACAGUACAAACUCAAAAGAUAAGUGCUGAGGCAGCACAGAAUGAGGGAGGUCAUCGCAUGAGGUGAUGUCAAUCAGGGAGAGCUCAGUCAGAAGAUAUAAAGGAAGAAAGGCUUUGAAGGGAGUGAUGAACAUGAGCUGGGACCAAAGAGCAAUCUAAGCAAAAAGAAUAGCAUGAGAAAGGCACAGAGGCAAGAGCUUGUAAGACAUCAGUAGAAGGCUGUAGGAAGUUUGAAUCUGUUGAAUCAAGGUGAAUAUGCUAGAGAGUAAUGAAGGCUGAUGAAUAUUAGGCAUAGAGGUAAUGGAGAAUUUGGAACACCACUGCUCCAUAGGAAUUAUCUACUGGGUGUUACUUAGUGAAAAUGAAAUUUUACAAUAGAGAUAUUGUAAAAAUGGGUGUUUGAGGAGGAUCGUCUUUGAAAAAUUAUCUACUGGGUGUUACUGAAAAUGAAAAUUUUACAAUACGGAUAUUGUAAAAAUGGAGUUUGAGGAGGAGCACCUUAGAAACUUUAUACAAGAUGGGGAUCCUGGGAGCAAGGAAAUUGGAAAAAAAAGAAUUACAGUAACCUGGGCCUCAGAUCUACAUGAAAAGCUAUAAUGGGAUGAGAGAAAUGGGAGAUCAAGCCUCAAGGAGAAAACUGAUUAAAAACUGGACUGACAGCAAGUUUUUGGACAUGGAGAAUGGAGAGCAGAAAAAGAUAACUCCAAGGCUGGGGUAAAAAUAUAAAGGUGGUGACACUUUUCAGGGCAAAGGAAUUACGCAAUGAGGCCUGUUUAAAAAGAAAACGGGGGCUGGGGAUAUAUGGUGAUGAAUCCUGUUUUCAAAUAUCAAGUUGUACAGGUACCUGUGGAAAAUUCCAAAAGUCACAAACUGACCCACAGGGUGGGAAAAAUGAAGUCAUUCGAAUACAAAUAGUAGGUAUAAACAAUCAAAAUGGAUAAAUAGGAGUAUAGAAAAUGAAGUGAAUAAAAGACAGGGAGAUUAUUCUCAGUGGAGAAGAGGAGAAAGGGGAGUGGGUGGAAAGAUCAACUAAAAAAAGAAAGACAGAUAUUAGAGAAAAAGGAUCCCACAAGCCAAAGGAGGGAGAAUUCAACAAUAUAAAAUAUAAUAAUACAUUUAUCAUGAGCCUGAGAAAGGCAUAACAGGGUUGGGCACAUAGUAAGUGCUCAAUAAACGUCGGCUAUUAUUAUUUGGAGACUCAGAACCAAGAGUAAAGUUAACUGCUCUGUUUGGGAAUCAACCACCAUAUUCUAGCACUGCACCUUGCUCCAUGGAGAAAAUCUCUGAAACCUAACAUGCCUCUCCCAGGGCUAUGUUGGAUGGCAUUAGAGUUAUGAAAGAACCACCUUAUCAUGUCAGUUCCUAAAAUGAGAAGCUUAGGAUGGGAGGAGAAAGUACUGAUGAAUAGUUCAUUUCAGAUGAACAUAAAGAUAGAAUCUAUAGGAUAAAGGAGCUUAAUGAAUGCCAUUCACAGUUAAGAGCUCAAAAUGUCAUACAGCCUAGUCAAUAAUAUUCUAUGCUAAGAGUGUGAACUUGAGACAAAGAAUGAUUUCUAGUGAUGUCCUCAAAGAAUCCACAGCCUUUUUCUAUUGUCUUAUACCAUUUGGCUAAUUCUGUAUAUGUGCUGUAUCAGCUUUGAUAAUUCUUUCAAGACACAGUCUUUUCUCACACCCAAUAUAACACUAAUUUUUCUAGUCAUAUUAUUUUCUCCAAAUUUAUGCCACAUGCUUAGUAAUUCUGAGAUUUAAGUAAUCUGGCUACAUAUUACUCUUAAUACUGACACAUAAAGAGACUUUAGCUAGUACAUCUGUAUACAUUUCAAUGUGUUGCUCUGGUCUAUGGCCAUACCACCCUGAAUGCACCCAAUUUUGUUAAUAUGUUGCAUUGCUAAAAGGACUUU